rnacentral:tRNA from 1 species
GCCGCAUUAGUUUAAUGGAUAAAACAUUGACCUCCUAAGUCAAAAAGUUCGUGUUCGAAUCACGAAUGCGGUGCCA